rnacentral:tRNA from 2 species
GGGGCCGUAGCUCAGUCGGGAGAGCGCCUGCUUUGCAAGCAGGAGGUCGUCGGUUCGAUUCCGAUCGGCUCCACCA